rnacentral:rRNA from 1 species
GGUGUAGCGUAUGGAAAGGGAAGCAAUGGGCUACAUUACCUGCCCCAGGUAAUCACGAACGAUAUAUUGAAAAAUACAUCUGAAGGAGGAUUUAGUAGUAAGAGAAGAGUAGAGAGCUUCUCUGAAACCGGCUCUGAAGCGCGCACACACCGCCCGUCACUCUCCCCAAGCUCUAAUCAACCUCAUAAUUAAUUCACCAACUUCUGCUGAGGGGAGGCAAGUCGUAACAUGGUAAGUGUACUGGAAAGUGCACUUGGAAAAAC